CUACGGGCGGCACCAGUCGAGAAUAGUCUACAACGGACGAAAGUCUGAUAGUGCGACGCCGCGUGGAUGAAGAAGCAUUUCGGUGUGUAAAGUCCUUUUCUGUGUGAGCAAUGUUUUCCAGGUUAAUAGCUUGGAGAAAGCGAUAUUAACACAGGAAUAAGCUCCGGCUAACUCCGUGCCAGCAGCCGCGGUAACACGGGGGGAGCAAGCGUUGUCCGGAAUUACUAGGCGUAAAGGGUAAGUAGGCGGAAUUGUAAGUCAGAUGUUAAAGGCACCGGCUCAACCGGUGUAUGGCAUUUGAUACUGUAAUUCUAGAGUAAGGUGGGGGAAGACGGAAUUCCUGGUGUAGCGGUGGAAUGCGCAGAUAUCAGGAGGAACACCAGAGGCGCAGGCGGUCUUCUAUACCAUUACUGACGCUCAAUUACGAAGGUGUGGGUAUCAAACAGGAUUAGAUACCCUUGUAGUC
rnacentral:rRNA from 1 species